CGCAGUCUCCUUGGGGAGUAGCCUGCUUCGCUUGCACGAAGCGCUUAUGUCAACAUAUUCAGCCCUCCCGGCUGUGGUAUAAGCGACCAUCCGGUUUGGCGAGACCAGCGAGCGGUUCAUGUUUUCCCGGUCGGGCGCAUGGAUUGCUUGUCUGUUGCGUCCCGGCCGCUG
rnacentral:sRNA from 2 species